rnacentral:rRNA from 1 species
CAGUAGCGUAUGCUAAAGUUGUUGCAGUUAAAAAGCUCGUAGUCGGAUUUUGCGGCUGGCUUUGGUGGACCUUCGAAAGAUGCGAACGCCAGGCAGGUCGUUCUACCGAGAUGGUAUUGGUGGACUUGAGUGGCUGCUGAUAUUGGUUUCGGACAUUUACUGUGAAGAAAUUAGAGUGUUCAAAGCAGGCGAAAGCUUGAAUACAUUAGCAUGGAAUAAGGAAAUAGGAUUUUGGGCCUAUUUUGUUGGUGCGUAGGCUUGAAGUAAUGAUUAAUAGGGACGGGCGGGGGCUUAUGUAUUUACAAAGGAGCGGUGAAAUGCGUUGAUUUUGUAAAGACAAACUGCUGCGAAAGCGUCUGCCAAGUACGUUUUCUCCG